CUGUAUCAGGAAGCAGAAUACUGAAGAUGGAUGGUCCCUAGAAGAUUAUCUUCCCCAUUAUCCAUUACAGAUACAGCACAGAGAAACAGCGGAUGAGACAUUCUCUAAUAGUAGAGCAUCUGGCAACCAGAUGAGCUGAUCAAAGAAAUUUCUCCUCUCUCAUGUCUUUAUCUACAGAACCAUGAAGAAUGUUAUCACUGUAUUGGAAAACAUGUUUAUGGCCCUUUUAUGCUGAAUUUGGAGUUAUCUGCAAUAACUAGAUGAAAGUUUGAAUUUUCUCUUUGGGAAGGAAUGAUUGGCUUAGGAAUGGACACUUCACUUUUGCUGGCAAUGAAGACAGUGUGAAACUAGAUCUUCUGGUUGCUCAUUUAUGGAGUUUAAGAAAAGAAUAAAGCGCUUCCUAGCAGAGGAAAAUGCUAACAUUGCAGGGAGAAUCUGAAUUUUGAUGACGUAAUUUGAAUUCUUCAGCCAAGUCAUGUAUAAAAAAAUGAUGUAGACUUUUUCAGUUACAUGAGCCAAUAAAUUCCCUUCUCUGUGUAAGCCAAUUUGAGUUGGAUUUUAUGUUACUUACAACGAUGGAGCCUUACUGAAGCAAUACAAAAGUGUGAGUGUAGAUUUAUAAACAAAUGUACAUAGGAAUAAAUGAACAUGAAUGGAUAUGAGAAACAAACUUAACUAAAAUUGAAGAGGUAGACUGAGAAGUGUUCCAUAGGCUAAGAGGGAACUAGGUUGGGGCAAGAGCUUGAAAAUAUAACCACGAAACCACUGAGGCACAAAGAAAUGUGAUAAAAGUGAAGUUUUGGAUGAUUAUUCUGGCAGGUUACAUUGGAGCUGAGAGAGAAGAGAGUCAGAAGAUUGUUGAACUAAUCCUAGUUGGUAGUGUUCAAGAGCUUAAAUAGGACCAUGAAGUAAAAAGAGAAAGACAUUUGACAAGAGGUAUUUUAAAGGACCAACCGAAAGCCCUGACAAGUGUUGGAUAAAAGGAAGAGAAGAAAAGAGUCAACAAUGACAUCUAAGUAUGUUUCCAAGUUUGGAUGGCAGAGAAAGCAGUGGUAUCAGCCAGAAAGAAGGAAGAGUUUUGAAAGAUAAUUCAAUUGUUGAAGAACUGACAGGACAUCCCACUACAAAUGUUGAUGAGGUAGGAGAAGAUGUGAGUAAGGAACUUGGACAAAGGUGACAUUCAAGAUAAAGAUCUGCACAGAAGAAAUAUGAAGCAGUAGCUGUAGAUGAAUAUCAGAAGGUGAGAGAAAAGCUGAAACUAACAAUGUCAGAGACCAGGAAGAAAAAGUGGCAUCCAUGAAAGAAAUGGAUCUAUUGCCUGAUGGAGCCACCAGAAGAGAGCCAGGAUAAUUUCAUGGAUAAAAUGCUUAGAGAAAAGGUAAAGCAAAUGCUAAGGCAAUGAUUUAGAAGGCUCUGAACUGACUGAUUUAGCUCCAGCCUCAUUUCCAGCUGUUCUUUCUACUGAUUAUAUAGCGUUCACAUCUACCUGCUUGCUUUCUAAUGAUUCAAAUUCACCAAGUGCUCUCUGGCCUCAGAGCCUUUGCACUUCUCUCUGCCUGGAAAAUUCUUCUUCCCUAGGCAUUUGCUUGGCUUUCUUUCUUAUUCCCCUAGGACCACUGUUUAAAUAUAAUUUCCUCAAAGAGGAUUUUCUAGAUCGACUCACUUAAAAUAUAAAAUAACACACUUCUCCCACCUGCAUCCUGUUUGUCCUACUCUGCUUUGUCUUCAUGGCACU